rnacentral:rRNA from 1 species
UACGUAGGGUGCGAGCGUUAAUCGGAAUUACUGGGCGUAAAGGGUGCGCAGGUGGUUACGUAAGUCUGAUGUGAAAGCCCCGGGCUCAACCUGGGAACUGCAUUGGAGACUGCGUGGCUAGAGUGUGGCAGAGGGGGGUGGAAUUCCGCGUGUAGCAGUGAAAUGCGUAGAGAUGCGGAGGAACAUCAAUGGCGAAGGCAGCCCCCUGGGUUAACACUGACACUCAUGCACGAAAGCGUGGGGAGCAAACAGG